rnacentral:rRNA from 1 species
CCUACGGGCUGCAGCAGUGGGGAAUAUUGGACAAUGGGCGCAAGCCUGAUCCAGCCAUGCCGCGUGAGUGAAGAAGGCCUUAGGGUUGUAAAGCUCUUUCACCGGUGGAGAUAAUGACGGUAACCGGAGAAGAAGCCCCGGAUAACUUCGUGCCAGCAGCCGCGGUAAUACGAAGGGGGCUAGCGUUGUUCGGAAUUACUGGGCGUAAAGCGCGCGUAGGCGGAUAGAUAAGUCAGAGGUGAAAUCCCGGGGCUCAACCCCGGAAUUGCCUUUGAUACUGUUUAUCUUGAGUGCAGAAGAGGUAAGUGGAAUUCCGAGUGUAGAGGUGAAAUUCGUAGAUAUUCGGAGGAACACCAGUGGCGAAGGCGGCUUACUGGUCUGCAACUGACGCUGAGGCGCGAAAGCGUGGGGAGCAAACAGGAUUAGAUACCCGUGUAGUC